GGGGUUGUAGCUCAGUUGGGAGAGCGCCUGAAUCGCACUCAGGAGGCCGGGAGUUCGAAUCUCCUCAACUCCA
rnacentral:tRNA from 1 species